rnacentral:rRNA from 1 species
UUUAUAUGAGGAGGUGGAAUUCGUACAUAUAUCUCUUUUUAGUUGAGCUUCGAAAAUUAGACCGGGAUUAGAUACCCCGUUAUUUUUUUUGUAAAUUUUGAUUUUUACCUGAGUAUUACGGGCUUAAAACUCAAAAAACUUGGCGGUGCCUUAUUUCCUUCCAGGGGAACCUGUCCUGUAAUCGAUGAUCCACGAUUUAACUUACUUUUUUUUGCAGUUUGUAUACCGUCGUCGUCAGAUUACCUUUAAGAGAAAAGUUGUCGGAUAAAUUUUGAUGUCAGAUCAAGGUGCAGCUUAUGGAAAAGUAGAGAUGGGUUACAAUACAGACUUUGUAUUAUGGAUAUUAAUUUGUAAUGAAAGUGGACUUGGGAGUAAUAUUAGUUAGUUUAUGUGAAGUACUAAGGUGCG